rnacentral:rRNA from 1 species
AACGAACGCUGGCGGCAUGCCUAACACAUGCAAGUCGAACGAGACCUUCGGGUCUAGUGGCGCACGGGUGCGUAACGCGUGGGAACCUGCCCUUAGGUUCGGAAUAACUCCCCGAAAGGGGUGCUAAUACCGGAUAAUGUCUUCGGACCAAAGAUUUAUCGCCUUUGGAUGGGUCCGCGUUGGAUUAGCUAGUUGGUAGGGUAAAAGACUACCAAGGCGACGAUCCAUAGCUGGUCUGAGAGGAUGAUCAGCCACACUGGGACUGAGACACGGCCCAGACUCCUACGGGAGGCAGCAGUGGGGAAUAUUGGACAAUGGGCGAAAGCCUGAUCCAGCAAUGCCGCGUGAGUGAUGAAGGCCUUAGGGUUGUAAAGCUCUUUUACCCGGGAUGAUAAUGACAGUACCGGGAGAAUAAGCUCCGGCUAACUCCGUG